UGGUCUAGUGGUUAGGACUCAGCACUUUCACUGCUGCAGCCUAGGUUCAAUCCCUGG
rfam:Sus scrofa chromosome 6.